ensembl:lncRNA
AGAGAGAGAGAGAGAGGGACAGGUGGAGAGAGAGAGAGAGAUACAGAGAGAGACAGAGAGAGAGAGAGAGAAUGAGAUACAGAGAGGGACAGGUAGAGAGAGAGAGAGAGAGAGAGAGAGAGAGACAAGUAGAGAGAGAGAGAUACAGAGAGAGACCGGUGGAGAGAGAGAGAGAGCGAUACAGAGAGGGACAGGUAGAGAGAGAGAGAGAGAUACAGAGGGAGACAGGUGGAGAGAGAGAGACAUGGAGAGAAAGACAGAUGCAGAGAUACACAGAGAGAUGGACAGAAAGAUAGAUACAGAAAAAGAGAGGCAGGUACUGUAGAUAAAUACAGAGAGAGACCGGUAGAGAGAGAGAGAUAGAGAUAGAGAGAGAGAUACAGGUAGAGACUGAAAGACAGACGGAGGGAGAGAGACCGAGGCCGUGGAUGUCUGAAUUGUCAGUAGGUGAGAAAAGCCGGAUGGUGUACUGCUUCCGGCGGGAUUUUGCAGCGUGCAACCGACGGACACUGGACACUGCACGAGUCAAAAAUCCCACCGGUGCGGACGAGCUCAGGAAAUAAAUGUCGGAGGACAGCGUCGGCUCUUUAAGUAUUAAACCUCGGUUAAACGGGAAUUAUUUAACAAUACCCGAAUACAUCAUCGACUUAUUGAAGGGUUAAAGAAGUAAACGUUAAAAUCUUUUUUGUGAUCUCCAUCA